rnacentral:rRNA from 1 species
CAGCCGCCGCGGUAAUACGAAGGGGGCUAGCGUUGCUCGGAAUUACUGGGCGUAAAGGGCGCGUAGGCGGACAGUUCAGUCGGGGGUGAAAGCCCGGGGCUCAACCUCGGAAUUGCCUUCGAUACUGGCUGUCUUGAGUAUGAGAGAGGUGUGUGGAACUCCGAGUGUAGAGGUGAAAUUCGUAGAUAUUCGGAAGAACACCAGUGGCGGAGGCGACACACUGGCUCAUUACUGACGCUGAGGCGCGAAAGCGUGGGGAGCAAACAGGAUUAGAUACCCGAGUAGUCCCUGUCUCUUAUAC